rnacentral:tRNA from 1 species
AUUCAAAUAGCUUAUAUUUAGAGUAUGACAUUGAAGAUGUUAUGGAAAUUGUUUUAAUCUUUGAAUA